UUCCUUCCGCAGCACAUAUGCUAAAAUCGGAACGAUACAGAGAAGAUUAGCCAUGGCCUCUGCUCAAGGAUGACACGCAAAUUCGUGACACGUUCCAUACAAUU